ACGACUCUCGGCAACGGAUAUCUCGGCUCUCGCAUCGAUGAAGAACGCAGCAAAAUGCGAUACUUGGUGUGAAUUGCAGAAUCCCGUGAACCAUCAAGUCUUUGAACGCAAGUUGCGCCCGAGGCCUAGGCUAAGGGCACGUCUGCCUGGGCGUC
rnacentral:rRNA from 1 species